rnacentral:misc_RNA from 1 species
CAGCACAUAUUUUUCUUUUACGUAAUUUAUUUUACUUAUAUAAUACAUUUAAUAAAUAAAUAAAUAAAGAUAAAACUGCUUUGAAAUGACAGCUUCUUCUUCAUCUGCUCAUGCUAUUUUAAAAGAAAACCGACUAAUUCACCGUCGAGUCGUACUACUAUCCCACUUAUCAAGCAAAGAUAGUAAAUAGAUAAUAUGCCAAAUUAUCUUUCAGGAGGUGUUUUACCCCUUAAAAGUGAGAUUGGGUACGUAUAAAGAAAUACGUGUCUCUUAUAUUUUUAUACAUAAUAAAAUAUUUCAAGAAGAAUAAAAUCGGCUUCGGACAGUUGUGACCGUUGUUAGUUAGCGGUAUUUCCCUUGUUAAUAGCAGUUAUUUUCGAUCGCAGCAACCAAUUCUCCCCAACUCCAUCGCGCAUAUAUAUAUACACACUUUACCACACCGAAGUCUUCUCUCACCAAUCCCAUCUCUCAACUACUCAAGUUAUCAAACAUUUAAAACCAUAUAUAUAUAUUUAUAUUUAUAUUUAUAUGAAUUUCUUUAUAAAUGUAAAACAUGUAUAAAGAGAUGUGUAUAUUAUAUAUUAUAUACUAUAUUAUACUAUAGUGUAUAUCAUACUAGCGAUAACUCCGCAGCUGAUACGGCGCCCAAAUCAACUUGCCUUCUCAAAAAAGAAUAAAUGUAUCUCGUGUCCGCACAUUGGAAUAAAGCACGCGAAACAUCGACUUGCGAAAUAAGGGUAAUUGCGUAUAUAUUAUUUUGCGCGGACUUCGCUCAAGACAUUAUUUUACAAGUAUUUUUCUGUGGGAAAUAAACACUUGUUGAAUUCUCUUCUCUCUACCAAUUCAAUCGAUCGCCCGUUUCUUCCCGCGCGACGGCAUUAAAUUGAGAGUAUUUCGAUCUCACGGUGGUAUUUUGCAACUUUUUACGAUACGUUUAUACUAAAUUGCGCACUUUAAUAUACUGUACUUUACAUGAUUACUCCAUAUUUAUAUUUAAAAAGCGAAAUUCUAAAAUAAUUUUCCAGUAAUUCCAGUAAUGUAAACGGCAAAAUUCUAAACUAACUUUUCCAGUAAGUUUUCCAAGAAAGAGGAACACGUGAAGGGUCCACUGACUUUUCCGUAGUUAAAUGCAUUGCGGAUCUCGUAGAAGAAUGACGAUCUGCCUUAAAACCCAACACUUUAAUCUCAACAGAAUUCUACUUCUUCUAGUUGGCUUAUGGCCUUACGAGCAAUCAAAACUUGUUCACUUACAGUUAAUUCUGUUUUUUGGUAUUCUAAGUAGCUCUGUGAUAUUUCAGCUUACAGUAUUCCUGACUGCACAAUUCACUAUUGAUCUUGUUGUUCAAGUUCUUUCAGUUGUAUCGCUCAAUGUUACAUUUAUGAUUACAUACAACGCAUUCUGGGCAAACACUCAUACUGUAAGACUUUUAGGUGAACAACUUCAACAUAUGUGUAACGAGUUAAGAGACGGGAACGAGAUCGCUAUCAUACAAAAAUAUGGCAACGACGCAAAACGUAUUACAAUCAUAUUUAUAUUUCUUCUCGUAUGCUACGUGAUCAGUUUUAAUAUGCUGUCGUUUAUGCCGUACUUUCUUAGUGCUAUUUUGCAUAUAAACGAGUCUAAUCACCCGAUGCAACUGUUCCUGACAGAGUAUUUUGUCGAUGAAGAAAAAUAUUUCUAUCUAAUUUUGCUGCACACUAACGUAGCUUUUAGUAUAGGAGGAACUGCAUUUGCAGCAACAGGACUGAUGCUCUUAUCAUACGUGGAGCAUAGCUGCGGAAUGUUUCAAAUCGCCAGUUACCGUCUCGAGAAGGCAUUGGGAAACGUGCUGGAAAAUAUUAGCGCGGAGAAAGAGAUGAUGCAGUAUAGACAGAUAGUUUAUGCUAUAACUAUUCAUCGCGAUGCAAUGGAGUUCUCCACAUUGUUUAUUUCCAAUUUUGGAAAUUCGUUCUUCGGUGUAGCUGUCGUUGGUGUACUUUGCAUGAGUCUCAAUUUUUUUGGAAUCUCUCGAACGUUAUUGCAUAAAGAACAUUUCAUGCAACUUGCUAAACAUUUUAUAAUCGCAUUUAGUAUUGUGAUGUAUAUAUUCUUAUCCAAUUAUUUUGGGCAACAAGUUACAGAUCACGAUAACCACGUAUAUCUCACGGCAUACAACGUUUACUGGUACAAAGCACCCAUACGUAUACAAAAACUGAUACUGUUUUUGAUAGAAAGGAGUACGAAAAGUUUCAAUCUAAGAGUUGUUGGAGUAUUAGUAGCAUCUAUAGAGCGCUUUGCCUCGGUAAAAAUCAACAUGUGUUGCGUAUUAAUUAACCAUUAUCAAUGUACACCAGAUGAUAUGCCCGACACGUUGCAUUGACGAUACAAUAGCAGACAUAUCUGGUUUCAGCUAAUGAAAACAUCAAUAUCCUACUUCACUGUCAUCCAUUCCUUGCAAUGAAGUAGAAAUCUAUCGUCUGAUAUUGCAAUAGAGUUUACAAUAGGAUAGGUAAAGUGCAUUUUCGAUAUCGAUCAUCUUCAAUUGUUGAUUGAGAAGUUUCAGAGAAUAUUUUUAUUUCUUUCCGAUUGUGAAUCAUGACAUCGCUUAUAAAUUAAGUACAUAGAGAAAGAGAGAGAAUUAUUAGCUCAUUUACACAUUGCCGAUUACACCAACGAAACAUGAAAUAUGAGCUAUUUUUUACGUCCAAGAAGCAAAUUCUCCUGUUUUAUUAAAUAUCACAUGGAUUUUCAAGGAUUACUAAAGAAAGCAUGUUAACAGCCAUGCCAACGCCGACAUAUUCUCGAUAUUAUCGCAUCAAAAAUAGUGCAGUGAUAUUGAAUAUGGUCCAGUCAUGUAAAUUGGAUAUGCAAUAAAGCAUGUUGUAGCU